GCCUCGCUGGCGCAGUCGGCAGCGCGUCAGUCUCAUAAUCUGAAGGUCGAGGGUUCGAACCCCUCGCGAGGCA